GAGACUUUAAGUUAACUUCCUAAACUUGUAACCUUCAAAGUUAUUAAUAUCAAUAAUAAGGUAAGUCUUA
rnacentral:tRNA from 1 species